AGACCUGGAUGUCUCUUUGCAGGCCUCUGUGUGAUAUGAUUGAUAUAUUAGGUUGUUAUUUAAUCCAACUAUAUAUCAAACAUAUUUCUUACAGUGUCUUGCCCUGUCUCCGG
rnacentral:miRNA from 1 species